rnacentral:rRNA from 1 species
UACGAAGGGGGCUAGCGUUGUUCGGAAUCACUGGGCGUAAAGGGCGCGUAGGCGGCUUUAUAAGUCGGGGGGUGAAAGCCUGUGGCUCAACCACAGAAUUGCCUUCGAUACUGUAGAGCUUGAGACCGGAAGAGGUUAGUGGAACUGCGAGUGUAGAGGUGAAAUUCGUAGAUAUUCGCAAGAACACCAGUGGCGAAGGCGGCUGACUGGUCCGGUUCUGACGCUGAGGCGCGAAAGCGUGGGGAGCAAACAGG